UGCCUACGGGAGGCAGCAGUGGGGAAUAUUGGGCAAUGGGCGCAAGCCUGACCCAGCAACGCCGCGUGAAGGAAGAAGGCUUUCGGGUUGUAAACUUCUUUUCUUGGGGACGAAGAAAGUGACGGUACCCAAGGAAUAAGCCACGGCUAACUACGUGCCAGCAGCCGCGGUAAUACGUAGGUGGCAAGCGUUAUCCGGAUUUAUUGGGUGUAAAGGGCGUGUAGGCGGGAUUGCAAGUCGGAUGUGAAAACUACGGGCUCA
rnacentral:rRNA from 1 species